rfam:Heterocephalus glaber contig9520, whole genome shotgun sequence.
UUUCUAUUAUUUGCAGUCAGUAACAAAGAUUCAUUCUUGUGUCAGUCAUCCAACAAGGAGAAUCUUUGUCACUUAGUGUAAUUAAUAGCUGCAC